rnacentral:rRNA from 1 species
AUCGGGGCAGGGUGAGUCGACCCCUAAGGCGAGGCCGAAAGGCGUAGUCGAUGGGAAACGGGUUAAUAUUCCCGUACUUGGUGUUACUGCGAAGGGGGGACGGAGAAGGCUAUGUUGGCCGGGCGACGGUUGUCCCGGUUUAAGCGUGUAGGUGUGUGUUCCAGGUAAAUCCGGUUCACUUUAACACUGAGGCGUGACGACGAGGCACUACGGUGCUGAAGCAACAAAUGCCCUGCUUCCAGGAAAAGCCUCUAAGCAUCAGGUAACAUCAAAUCGUACCCCAAACCGACACAGGUGGUCAGGUAGAGAAUACCAAGGCGCUUGAGAGAACUCGGGUGAAGGAACUAGGCAAAAUGGUGCCGUAACUUCGGGAGAAGGCACGCUGACACGUAGGUGAAGUGAUUUACUCAUGGAGCUGAAGUCAGUCGAAGAUACCAGCUGGCUGCAACUGUUUAUUAAAAACACAGCACUGUGCAAACACGAAAGUGGACGUAUACGGUGUGACGCCUGCCCGGUGCCGGAAGGUUAAUUGAUGGGGUCAGCGCAAGCGAAGCUCCUGAUCGAAGCCCCGGUAAACGGCGGCCGUAACUAUAACGGUCCUAAGGUAGCGAAAUUCCUUGUCGGGUAAGUUCCGACCUGCACGAAUGGCGUAAUGAUGGCCAGGCUGUCUCCACCCGAGACUCAGUGAAAUUGAACUCGCUGUGAAGAUGCAGUGUACCCGCGGCAAGACGGAAAGACCCCGUGAACCUUUACUAUAGCUUGACACUGAACAUUGAGCCUUGAUGUGUAGGAUAGGUGGGAGGCUUUGAAGUGUGGACGCCAGUCUGCAUGGAGCCGACCUUGAAAUACCACCCUUUAAUGUUUGAUGUUCUAACGUGGACCCGUUACCCGGGUUGCGGACAGUGUCUGGUGGGUAGUUUGACUGGGGCGGUCUCCUCCUAAAGAGUAACGGAGGAGCACGAAGGUUGGCUAAUCCUGGUCGGACAUCAGGAGGUUAGUGCAAUGGCAUAAGCCAGCUUGACUGCGAGCGUGACGGCGCGAGCAGGUGCGAAAGCAGGUCAUAGUGAUCCGGUGGUUCUGAAUGGAAGGGCCAUCGCUCAACGGAUAAAAGGUACUCCGGGGAUAACAGGCUGAUACCGCCCAAGAGUUCAUAUCGACGGCGGUGUUUGGCACCUCGAUGUCGGCUCAUCACAUCCUGGGGCUGAAGUAGGUCCCAAGGGUAUGGCUGUUCGCCAUUUAAAGUGGUACGCGAGCUGGGUUUAGAACGUCGUGAGACAGUUCGGUCCCUAUCUGCCGUGGGCGCUGGAGAACUGAGGGGGGCUGCUCCUAGUACGAGAGGACCGGAGUGGACGCAUCACUGGUGUUCGGGUUGUCAUGCCAAUGGCACUGCCCGGUAGCUAAAUGCGGAAGAGAUAAGUGCUGAAAGCAUCUAAGCACGAAACUUGCCCCGAGAUGAGUUCUCCCUGAGACUUAAAGUCUCCUGAAGGAACGUUGAAGACGACGACGUUGAUAGGCCGGGUGUGUAAGCGCAGCGAUGCGUUGAGCUAACCGGU